rnacentral:tRNA from 1 species
GCAGUGGUGGUUCAGUGAUAGAAUUCUCACCUUCCGUGUGGGAGACCCAGGUUUGAUUCCUGGCCAGUACG